UGACUUACUGUGCAAGCCAGUCUUCAAGAGUUUAAGGAUUUUAAAAACCAUCGAUUUGGGUCCUGGCUAAUUUCAUCAACGCGAGGUAUUAGUUGGUAAGGAAGAGAAAACAUAAGUUCUGAAGGUUAGAGAGAAGAGACAGUCCAAUGAAACUUCUGCAGAGGUGAGGGGACAGGAGCUCAGGUCGAGGUGUGUUUCUGAAGGGACUCGGAGAUGUGAGAGAACUCACUAAGGAAAGGUGAUGAUGGAUGAGGCAUGGGGUGAGCUCAUCUGAACCAAGAGUUGCCUCACAGCAAAUGAGAUCUUCUGAUGAGUUGGGAUUUUCCACAGUCCCAACUACAGCACAUUCAGGGUCUUAUGGAAUCUUUCUCAUCGGGACUUCCUGGGAAGAUGGGAACAAAUGCCUAUUCACGUCAGAUAGGGCCCGGAUGACAGACAAGAGAGGCCUAGACUGUUAACCCCUCCAUUGCUGACCAUUAAUGUUAAUAAAGACAAUUUGAACACUACACCGGACCUAUGGGAAGUGGAGAAGACAUAGUUAUUUCCAUUCAACGCACAAGCAAAGUGGAAAGAUGCUCAAGAAGUGUUUAGGGGACUGAUGUCAUACAGAAGAGUCCAGCUUCUCAGUCCACGGGCUGGCAGAGCACUUUAUAACAAGAUGGUUCAUCAUGUCAACCCCACCCAGCAGCACAAGCUUCUGGUGGAAGAACACAGCCUCCGAAGUAAAGACCACACCCUGGGGCGUGGUGCCAGUUCCUCUACUAACAAAUCCCCUGCCUUGGGCUCACACACCUAAAGGCUCGAGUUUAUUGUCCAUAUUGUAGAAAAAACUAGGCUGGCUAAAAGACCCAAGUGGUGUGUUUGGAGGGAAGGUGGAAAGUUUAUGAGUCUGCUGCUUAGGAAGGGAAGUUGCUAAAUUAGUUGGAGUAUCAGCAUAUAGGAGUGUGUGUGUGUGUGUGUGUGUGUGAACUUGUAAGAUAACCUAGCACUGAGUCCUUCUACAACCUGUGCCAAGAAUGGGGAGUAUGGAGAACCAACCAACGCACCAGAAAUGCUGUGUGGACUUUCUGAAAAACGCCUACCCAGGCUACCUUUUGAAACAAGUGUGCCUUGGACUUCUGGGAACUAUACAUGUGCACAAGGGGGUUCACGUGUAUGUAACACAUCUGACUUUUCCGUGUGCCUUCCAAGGGAUGGAACUUCGAUCCUCAUGUUUGUAUGAAGCCUUUACUGACUGAGACAUCUCCCCAUCCAUCCCUUUAAAGCAUCGUUGAUUCACAAUGUUCCUGUAGUUAGCCCUGCGGUCACAAUGCUGCCAGCAGAACUGAGUCUCUCCUCACUUUACGAGCUUUCCAGUUUUUCAUCUUGCUCAUUUUUCUUGA
rnacentral:lncRNA from 1 species